rnacentral:rRNA from 1 species
GACGUAGGGCGCGAGCGUUGUCCGGAUUUAUUGAGCGUAAAGAGCUCGUAGGCGGCUCGUUGCGUCGGCUGUGAAAACCCGCAGCUCAACUGUGGGCUUGCAGCCGAUACGGGCGGGCUGGGGAUUCGGUAGGGGAGACUGGAAUUCCUGGUGUAGCGGUGAAGUGCGCAGAUAUCAGGAGGAACACCGGUGGCGAAAGGCGGGUCUCUGGGCCGAUAUCGACGUGGAGGAGCGAAAGCGUGGGGAGCGAACAGG